UACGAAGGGGGCUAGCGUUGCUCGGAAUUACUGGGCGUAAAGCGCACGUAGGCGGAUUGUUAAGUCUGGGGUGAAAUCCUGGAGCUCAACUCCAGAACUGCCUUCGAUACUGGCGAUCUAGAGUCCGGGAGAGGUGAGUGGAACUGCGAGUGUAGAGGUGAAAUUCGUAGAUAUUCGCAAGAACACCAGUGGCGAAGGCGGCUCACUGGCCCGGUACUGACGCUGAGGUGCGAAAGCGUGGGGAGCAAACAGG
rnacentral:rRNA from 1 species